rnacentral:rRNA from 1 species
UACGGAGGGAGCUAGCGUUGUUCGGAAUUACUGGGCGUAAAGCGUACGUAGGCGGCUUUGUAAGUCAGAGGUGAAAGCCUGGAGCUCAACUCCAGAACUGCCUUUGAGACUGCAUCGCUCGAAUCCGGGAGAGGUGAGUGGAAUUCCGAGUGUAGAGGUGAAAUUCGUAGAUAUUCGGAAGAACACCAGUGGCGAAGGCGGCUCACUGGACCGGGAUUGACGCUGAGGUACGAAAGCGUGGGGAGCAAACAGG